rnacentral:rRNA from 1 species
GAUGAACGCUAGCUACAGGCUUAACACAUGCAAGUCGAGGGACCGGCGCACGGCUGAGUAACACGUAUCCAACCUGCCCUUUACUCGGGGGUAGCCUUUCGAAAGAAAGAUUAAUACCCGAUAUAAGGGAUGGGGAUGCGUUCCAGUAGGUUGUUGGGUAGGUAACGGCUCACGGAGCCUUCGAUGGAUAGGGUUUCUGAGCGGAAGGUCCCCCACAUUGGAACUGGUUUCCGUUCCAAACUCCUACGGGAGGCAGCAGUGAGGAACAUUGGUCAAUGGGCGCUAGCCUGAAACGGCCAAGUAGCGUGCAGGAUGAAGGAUUAUGGGGCGUAAGCUUCUUUUAUAUCCGAAUAUGUGUUAUAUGAAUAAGAAUCGGCAAGCUCCAUGCACGCAGCCGCGGUAAUUC